ACGCUCGACACCUACGGGAGCAGCAGUGGGGGAUAUUGCACAAUGGGGGAAACCCUGAUGCAGCAACGCCGCGUGAAGGAAGAAGGUCUUCGGAUUGUAAACUUCUGUCCUCAGGGAAGAUAAUGACGGUACCUGAGGAGGAGGCUCCGGCUAACUACGUGCUAGCAGCCGCGGUAAUCUGAGCGGGCUGGCAAGGC
rnacentral:rRNA from 1 species